rnacentral:rRNA from 1 species
GAUGAACGCUGGCGGCGUGCCUAAUACAUGCAAGUCGAGCGAACAGACGAGGAGCUUGCUCCUCUGACGUUAGCGGCGGACGGGUGAGUAACACGUGGAUAACCUACCUAUAAGACUGGGAUAACUUCGGGAAACCGGAGCUAAUACCGGAUAAUAUAUUGAACCGCAUGGUUCAAUAGUGAAAGACGGUUUUGCUGUCACUUAUAGAUGGAUCCGCGCCGCAGUAGCUAGUUGGUAAGGUAACGGCUUACCAAGGCGACGAUGCGUAGCCGACUUGAGAGGGUGAUCGGCCACACUGGAACUGAGACACGGUCCAGACUCCUACGGGAGGCAGCAGUAGGGAAUCUUCCGCAAUGGGCGAAAGCCUGACGGAGCAACGCCGCGUGAGUGAUGAAGGUCUUCGGAUCGUAAAACUCUGUUAUUAGGGAAGAACAAAUGUGUAAGUAACUAUGCACGUCUUGACGGUACCUAAUCAGAAAGCCACGGCUAACUACGUG